UACUGAACCGAAGUACUUCCGGGUUAAUUGACAAAUCUAAAAGUGGGGGUGCUCAAGAAUGACCGGUGUCCAAGUCGACUAUUUUGACAAUUUAAAACCCUGGAACUCUGAAAACUCAACUAACCUAGAAGACCUGGCCUCUUAACAGCCCUUAUGAUAUACGGCCGAUCACAUCAAGCAAGAUACUGUAAGUUGUCACUACAGUUUCGUGAAAAAACACCUAAUGUACUUUCGAACUUCCAAGAAAGUACCCUUGGAUAGUAUACAGUACUACGUCAACUACAACCGACCAGUUGUAAUCGUCUAGAUUUACAUGUUCUCCCUUUUGAAGAACCAACGAGUAUAUUGGUUUCAACACACCCUUAUACCCAACACCUGAACUACUUUAAACUAGGUAUGUGACAGCCAUCACGCCUUCGUAAAACCUUACCUUGACCAUUACCCGGUAAUGUUCGACUAUUAUCGUAUAGUAGUUACGACCCUUCAAAUAGCUAAAGGUCUUCUGGUCUUCGGUUACUUUGUAGGUCAUGUAACGAAUUCGCGGGCUACAGACGCAGCUUUCUUCGAAGACAUGGUCGAAGAAGACGUCACUCCUUCUCUAAUAGUUUUCGUGGACCUUAUUUAUUAGAAGCCGACUGUUCUCGACUUAGACGUGGAGAAGAAAGAGGAGCCCAAUCUAACUUCGGUUUAAGAUGACUGGUGGUCUUCUCUGUGUAUCGAUUACAAGCGAAGUUUCACCUAGAGAGAUGUUCACGGUCUUACUAGGGACCAUUGAGUGUACGAAGACGACGAGGGUGUAUAUAUGGAUCCAGGUUAUAUAAACGUACAUCAUCACUUCCUAGGUGAAAGCACGGACCAUAACAGGGUUCCGUACAAAGAUUUCACCUACGACCAAGGUUAGAGUCACUUCGGCGGCGGCGGCGGUAUUUCGGACUUGUUAAUGAUUUUCCAGUAGACCGACACCUAGUACUGUUUCUACAAGUAGCAAGGCAUAAAGUCAGUUUCGGUUAAUGAAGUUUUUGAGGUGUUUCCUUUAAAUAUUCUCUUUGUAGUUCACUACCCCUGUAAUUGACAAAACCCGGUAACACGUGACUUUCACAAGUCAGAUUGUUUCAACUAUUGACCAUACUACAAACACCAAAGUUUCUUUGUUUUAGUCGUCAACCUUCCUUAGGUGUUAAACACUUACAAUUGUCUUGUCAUCACAAACCUAGCUCGGUUGACCACCUUAGUUCACUCUCGUCGUAUUACGUUUUAGCUCCUUGCCCUGUAAAUAAACGCUCAAUGCUCUCUUCGCUCAUGCGUGGUUGUAGUCUACCGAACUCUGUUAGAAGUAAACGACCUCUUGCGUCACGUAGCCGAUUACUACUGCUAGAAUAUCGACUGGAUUACGUUUUGGUAGUUCUUAAGUAAGUACCGCACUUCAGCGCCGACUGUUUUGAUCUCGAACACAUGGCGACAACCGUUUUAUUACUAUAGUUCCCGAGACAGUCACGAUACGCUUCUUACAGCCUAGUACGACAAUGACGACUAUAUUAAUUACAAGAAUAAUACCUUUUCUCAUGGUUCAUAUAAUGUGAUCUGUAAACGUGAAGACAAAAUGGAGAGCGGAGGUUAGAAGAACUUUCGCCUAUACUGUCUGUAAACUUGCAACGGAACCGCUGCUAGGAAUUCGAACAGUUUUCGAAGGCACGUAGUUAGAAAAGAUAAAACAGCAGACGAGGUGGUCAGCCACAUCUGGAGCUUCGUCUCGUGACCAACCUUGCGACGUCAAGUACGAAAGUUCUCGACCUAUUCUAUUUACGUUCAGAGUAGAGGAACUGUUCCGCUCUUCCGUUCCAACCCUCUAGUCGUGCCCUCGACUCGGAGGAGGAAGUACUAUAGAAGUUCUGCGGUUCGUGCUACAUC
rnacentral:rRNA from 1 species